rnacentral:tRNA from 1 species
GGCCAGAUACUUUAAACAAAAAGAAAUGGUUUGCAUCUAUGAAUUACGGAAUUAUCGUUCCGGCCU